rnacentral:sRNA from 1 species
GCCAGGUGCAAUGGUGCACACCUAUAAUCCCAGUGACUUGGGAGGCUGAGUCAGGAGGAUCGCGGGUUCAAAGCCAGCCUCAGCAAAAGUGAGGCACUAAGCAACUCAGUGAGACCCUGUCUCUA